CACGAUGCCAGAGACAAAGUCGUGGAAACAAGAAAUUCUUUAUUUACGAGUCUGCAGAGCCGGGUGCCUCUCCAAACCGG